AUUCUCCUUCCUCAGCCUCCCGAGUAGCUGGGACUACAGGUAAUCAUGUGUGGAUAAAGGACGGGAGUACAGCCCCUCUAAAGCCACAAUGGAAAGGACCUCAGACCUGAUCCUGACCAAUCCCACAGCUGUGAAGGUAGAGGGACUCCCAGCCUGAAUCCACCUCAGCUGUGUAAAAACCAGCAACAGCUGAGACUUAGACCAAGGCAAGGACUGCAGAAUCACCUUAAAAAGGACAACAAGCCUUGCUCCAGCCACAUCCCGGAAGCUGGCUGGUCCACACACAGCCGAAGCAUGAGGAGAUUCAUCGUAGGACUGGUUCUUCUUAAUUUUUGGACUUGCACAGUAGGAACAUUAAUUUUGAAGAAUGCCCUCAGUAUGUACACCAG